GCGGAGGGUGCGAGCGUUAAUCGGAAUCACUGGGCGUAAAGCGCGCGUAGGCGGCUUUGUAAGUCAGGGGUGAAAUCCCACCGCUCACCGGUGGAACUGCCUUUGAUACUGGAUGGCUUGAGUGAGUGAGAGGAUAGUGGAAUUCCUGGUGUAGGAGUGAAAUCCGUAGAGAUCAGGAGGAACAUCAGUGGCGAAGGCGACUAUCUGGCACUAUACUGACGCUGAGGUGCGAAAGCGUGGGUAUCAAACAG
rnacentral:rRNA from 1 species